CUAUAAUGCAGUCGAGCGAACAGAAAAGGAGCUUGCUCCUUUGACGUUAGCGGCGGACGGGUGAGUAACACGUGGGCAACCUACCCUAUAGUUUGGGAUAACUCCGGGAAACCGGGGCUAAUACCGAAUAAUCUCUUUUGCUUCAUGGUGAAAGACUGAAAGACGGUUUCGGCUGUCGCUAUAGGAUGGGCCCGCGGCGCAUUAGCUAGUUGGUGAGGUAACGGCUCACCAAGGCGACGAUGCGUAGCCGACCUGAGAGGGUGAUCGGCCACACUGGGACUGAGACACGGCCCAGACUCCUACGGGAGGCAGCAGUAGGGAAUCUUCCACAAUGGGCGAAAGCCUGAUGGAGCAACGCCGCGUGAGUGAAGAAGGUUUUCGGAUCGUAAAACUCUGUUGUAAGGGAAGAACAAGUACAGUAGUAACUGGCUGUACCUUGACGGUACCUUAUUAAAAAGCCACGGCUAACUACGUGCCAGCAGCCGCGGUAAUACGUAAGUGGCAAGCGUUGUCCGGAAUUAUUGGGCGUAAAGCGCGCGCAGGCGGUCCUUUAAGUCUGAUGUGAAAGCCCACGGCUCAACCGUGGAGGGUCAUUGGAAACUGGGGGACUUGAGUGCAGAAGAGGAAAGUGGAAUUCCAAGUGUAGCGGUGAAAUGCGUAGAGAUUUGGAGGAACACCAGUGGCGAAGGCGACUUUCUGGUCUGUAACUGACGCUGAGC
rnacentral:rRNA from 1 species